ensembl:snRNA U4 U4 spliceosomal RNA
AGCUUUGCACGGUGACAGUAUCAUAGCCAAUAACAUUUAUCCAAGGCGUGACCAUUGCUAAUUGAAAACUUUUCCCAAUACCCCACCAUGACGACUGGCAAUAUAGUCGGCAUUGGCAAUUUUUGGAAGUCUCUACAGGGA